GAUGAACGCUGGCGGCGUGCUUAACACAUGCAAGUCGAACGGAAAGGCCCAAGCUUGCUUGGGUACUCGAGUGGCGAACGGGUGAGUAACACGUGGGUGAUCUGCCCUGCACUUCGGGAUAAGCCUGGGAAACUGGGUCUAAUACCGGAUAGGACCACAUUUUGGAUGGUGUGGUGGAAAGUUUUUCGGUGUGGGAUGAGCUCGCGGCCUAUCAGCUUGUUGGUGGGGUAAUGGCCUACCAAGGCGUCGACGGGUAGCCGGCCUGAGAGGGUGUACGGCCACAUUGGGACUGAGAUACGGCCCAGACUCCUACGGGAGGCAGCAGUGGAGAAUAUUGCACAAUGGGCGCAAGCCUGAUGCAGCGACGCCGCGUGGGGGAUGACGGCCUUCGGGUUGUAAACUCCUUUCGCUAGGGACGAAGCGUUAUGUGACGGUACCUGGAGAAGAAGCACCGGCUAACUACGUG
rnacentral:rRNA from 1 species